GUGCUCACCUCAGCAAUACAUAUACUAAAAUUGGAACCAUUCAGAGAAUAUUAGCGUGGCCUCUGCUGCAACGAUGACACGCAAAUUUGUGAAGUUUUCCAAAUUAAA